rnacentral:rRNA from 1 species
GACGAACGCUGGCGGCGCGCCUAAUACAUGCAAGUCGAACGCUUUUUCUUUCACCGGAGCUUGCUCCACCGAAAGAAAAAGAGUGGCGAACGGGUGAGUAACACGUGGGUAACCUGCCCAUCAGAAGGGGAUAACACUUGGAAACAGGUGCUAAUACCGUAUAACACUAUUUUCCGCAUGGAAGAAAGUUGAAAGGCGCUUUUGCGUCACUGAUGGAUGGACCCGCGGUGCAUUAGCUAGUUGGUGAGGUAACGGCUCACCAAGGCAACGAUGCAUAGACGACCUGAGAGGGUGAUCGGCCACACUGGGACUGAGACACGGCCCAGACUCCUACGGGAGGCAGCAGUAGGGAAUCUUCGGCAAUGGACGAAAGUCUGACCGAGCAACGCCGCGUGAGUGAAGAAGGUUUUCGGAUCGUAAAACUCUGUUGUUAGAGAAGAACAAGGAUGAGAGUAAAAUGUUCAUCCCUUGACGGUAUCUAUCCAGAAAGCCACGGCUAACUACGUGCCAGCAGCCGCCGUAA